CCCUUAGAUGUCCUGGGCCGCACGCGCGCUACACUGACCAGUGCAACAAGCAUCCGUCCUUGGCCGACAGGCCCGGGCAAUCUUUGAACGCUGGUCGUGAUGGGGAUAGACUUUUGCAAUUUUUGGUCUUCAACGAGGAAUUCCUAGUAAACGCAAGUCAUCAACUUGCAUUGAUUACGUCCCUGCCCUUUGUACACACCGCCCGUCGCACCUACCGAUUGAAUGGUCCGGUGAAGCCUCCGGAUUGGCGCGCACCUCGGUGCCGCCGAGAAGUUGGCUAAACCUUNCNAUUUAGNGGAAGGUGAANUCGUANCA
rnacentral:rRNA from 1 species